rnacentral:misc_RNA from 1 species
AACGCAUCUUGCGCUCCUUGGUAUUCCGAGGAGCAUGCCUGUUUGAGUGUCAUUUGACCUUCUCAAUCACAUCGUUCUUGUUUUGAAUGUGUGUGGCUUGGAUGUGGGGGUAAAUAAUUUUUAUUUUUUGCAGGCUUCAAAUCAAGAAGCCGGCUCCCCUGAAAUGCAUUAGUGGUGUCUGAGCUGCUAUUGGUGUGAUAAAUUAUCUAUGCCUUUGGUAAUGCUGGUCAGCAUCGCUUAUAACGGACGUUGUGAUCAUUUGACAAAUUUGACCUCAAAUCAGGUAGGACUACCCGCUGAACUUAA